rnacentral:rRNA from 1 species
GUCCUUUUGAAUUUUAUUUAAGGUCUGACCUGCCCACUGAUUUAUUUAAUGGCCGCGGUAUUUUGACCGUGCAAAGGUAGCAUAAUAAUUUGUCUUUUAAUUGAAGGCUUGUAUGAAUGGUUGGACGAGAAAACUACUUUCUUUAUAAUAAAAUUAUAAAUUUUAUUUUUUAGUUAAAAAGCUAAAAUGUUGUUGUAGGACGAGAAGACCCUAUAGAACUUUAUAUUUAUUUUUAUAUUAAUAUUUUUGGUUAAUAAUAUAUUGUAUUAUAAUCAAUAUUUUGUUGGGGCGACAAGAAAAUUUAUUUAACUUUUUUUUAACUAUUUCAUUAAUUAAUGUAUAAAUGAUCCUUUAUUAUGGAUAAUAAGAAUAAGUUACCUUAGGGAUAACAGCGUAAUUUUUUUGGAGAGUUCUUAUCGAUAAAAAAGUUUGCGA